rnacentral:lncRNA from 1 species
AACAAACAACCGUUUGGGUGUUCACCAUCAGAUGCGUCAGCACGGGAGCCGUUCGGAGUCGUUUAUGCUCUGGCUCUAUCUGUGAACAGUUAUCUGUGUAUUCACUGUAAUCUGUGAAUCCUAGCGCGUCAGGUACCGUUUGGGUCAAGCGGCCACUUAUGGAUGCAGAUUCCAGCGGCCGCCCAGCAGAUCUAAGUAAAAGCAGCAUGGAGAACGGAGCACAAGGAGGAGAUCAGGCCAACGGUCUGGAUGCCCACAAUUCAAAUAGACAAGCAACAAGUGCAAUCAGCAAUGUUCAGGCACAAGCGCUGCUCCAACAGGUACGUGAAGCAC